GACGAACGCUGGCGGCGUGCUUAACACAUGCAAGUCGAACGGAAAGGCCCUGCUUGCAGGGUACUCGAGUGGCGAACGGGUGAGUAACACGUGGGUGAUCUGCCCUGCACUUCGGGAUAAGCCUGGGAAACUGGGUCUAAUACCGGAUAGGAGCCAUUUUUAGUGUGAUGGUUGGAAAGUUUUUUCGGUGUAGGAUGAGCUCGCGGCCUAUCAGCUUGUUGGUGGGGUAAUGGCUUACCAAGGCGGCGACGGGUAGCCGGCCUGAGAGGGUGGACGGCCAAAUUGGGGCCGGGAUACGGCCCAGACUCCUACGGGAGGCAGCAGUGGGGAAUAUUGCACAAUGGGCGGGAGCCUGAUGCAGCGACGCCGCGUGGGGGAUGACGGCCUUCGGGUUGUAAACUCCUUUCGCUAGGGACGAAGCUUUUUGUGACGGUACCUAGAUAAGAAGCACCGGCUAACUACGUG
rnacentral:rRNA from 1 species